rnacentral:lncRNA from 1 species
CUUAGUUCAGACCUCUUAAAUCGGGUAAGUGUGUACGUAAUGUUGUCAACGAUAAACUAUAAAUUAUAACUUAUAACUUGUAUACAGCUGCCACUGUCAUUAUUUUUAAAAGAAUUGUAUGGUUUCAAAACUUUAGCGUUAUUUAGUAUUAUAAUCAUUGUAACGAAACAAUUUAGAGAUAUAUAGGUUGACAUAGUUGAAACCGAAAGCAAAUUUUAAAUUUAACGAUUUCCAUUUCUUAUUUACAUUCUUGUAAUUGAAUAACAAUAUAAUUAUCAUUUUUUAAGUAAACAAUUGUCAUACAUUUAUCCGUGAUCAGCGGAAGUGUGUAAAUAAAAGUAUCUAUCAUUGUUCAUGUUCACUCAUGUUGUUACCUAGCCGUAUCAAUAUAUGAAUUAAAUGCACUGUGUAAAAAGUGCGAAUCGAUAAAGUUUAUCUAGACUAUUAGCCGGAUUUGGAAAAGGUUAGUUGAAUUGAUUAUAUUACAAGGAAAAUGUCAAGAUCCUUAUCUUUGCCAUUGAAAAUAGUCUUAACUAUUACUCGACCAAUCUAAAACAGUCUUAACCUGUUAUUGACCUGUACCUAACCAAUACCCAAACGAACAUGUUUUCAGACUGAACCAUACUCGACUCGUUUAAAGCAUUCUCAACAAAGGAGAGAUCUUUUCGACCUCACUUUGUGUCCAGAGUCGUCCGUCAUCGUCCGUCGUCGGUCGUCGUCGUUGUCCGUUAACUUUUACAAAAAUCUUCUCCUCUGAAACUACUGGGCCAAAUAGAACCAAAUUUUGCCUAAACCAUCCUUAUUUAGUUUUAAAAAUGUAUCCAAUGACCCCGCCCAUCAACCAAGAUGGCUGCCAUGGCUGAACAAAAAAUUGGGUUAAAAUGCAGUGUUUGGCUUCAAGCUUUGACACUAAAUAAAGCCUUAAGUGCAAAUCUGACAAGAAACAAUGUUAAUCAGAUCAAGUUCCAUCUUCCCUUUUUUUAUUAUCUUGAAUAUUAUAAUUGAUAGAGAUAAACUGUUAACAGCAAUAUUUUCGGCUAAAUAGGAUCUACAAAUAAGACAAAAGUUCAAAAUUGUCAAUUGACACCUUUAAGAGUUAUUGUCCUUUAAAGUCAACUUUUUUUUACAAAAUCUGCUUCUCUGAAACUACUUUGCCAAACUGAACUAAACUUGGCCUUAAUCUAAUCAUACUUAGUGUGUAUAAUUUAUGAAAUGUGUCCGAUGACCCGACACAUCAAGCAAGAUGGCCACCAUGACUAAAUCAAAACACCAAAGGCGCUGUAGGCAGUUAGGUAAAAAAAGUAGAGGCAAACUUGGCAGAAGUUAAGAAGAAUAUUGUGGAAAAAUUGGUCAAAAUAUUUAUCUCUGCUAUUUCUCAAGUAUUGAAUAAUGUUUGUACCCUAAACAUGCUAAAGUUUUCACUAUCCAAUCCUGCCACUUUCAAAAUUGUCCAAUUAUUUUUUUAAAUUUUCAAUAUCUGUGAUUAUACACAUACUGUAUGUACACUGUCCCAUGUAAGGGGAGAGUUUGUGCAUGUCCAUAUUGAGGACCUAGUAAUUUGGUAAUUGUAGCUGUAUAUCAUAUCCAUUUUUCAUAAUUGUUUUGUACAUCAAUCAGGUUGCUUUAGUUUUAUUGUUUUACAUUUGUAAUUUACUGGUCUUUUUAAGCUUAAUAUGCAGUCUACAUGUAGGUUUUGCUAAUAAUUACAAGCUGCAUGGAGGAAUAUUCUUUCAGAAUAAUAAUUUCAAUAAUGGGGUCCAGCAGUAGUGUAUGGUUUAAUUUAACUAUAUUCUAGAGUAUGAGUAUGCCAUAUAAGCAGUUUAAGUUGAAUCAGCUGGUGCACCUACAUUGUAUGCACGAUCAUCAAAUCAUAGCUGAAACUAUCUGAAGUGGUGUAAUUUUCUUGUAAGUUAUAUUACAAUAAAUGCUGAUAUUGUUAUAAUGGCCUAGCAAUGAUACAACAUUUUUUGAAGCCUGUAAGGUUGCCUAACUAUAACUUCUUACUUUCUUCAUUUGAAUUUUGUUGGAUAUAUACAUAUAUAUAGUUGUCUCAUAAUGAUGCAUUGGCUAUCAUUCCACAUCUUCUUAUCUUUAUAAUAAUUGUACAUGUCUUAUCUAUAAUCAGCUCUUAAUGCAGAGACAUGUUUUGCCUAUUUGUUAUCUUGAUAAUGCAAAUAAUACAAUUAAAAUAGAAAUGCAUUACCCGGCCAUGUCCACUUGUAUUUUUUGUCUAUCUGAUGAGUUAAGCCUUCUCAACUGAUUUUUAUAGUUCGUUCUUAUGUUGUACUGUUAUACCACUGUCCCAGGUUAGGGGGAGGGUUUGGAUCCCGCUAACAUGUUUAACCCCGCCACAUUAUUUGUGUAUGUGCCUGUCCCAAGGCAGGCGCCUGUAAUUCAGUGGUUGUCGUUUGUUUAUAUGUUACAUAUUUGUUUUUCAUUCAUUUUUUUUACAUAAAUAAGGCUGUUAGUUUUCUCGUUUGAAUUGCUUUACAUUGUCUUAUCGAGGCCUUUUAUAGCUGACUAUGCGGUAUGGGCUUUGCUCAUUGUUGAAGGCCGUACGGUGACCUAUAGUUUGUAUAAAUUUGGUCUUUUGUGGAUAGUUGUCUCAUUGGCAAUCAUACAAAAUCUUCUUUUUUAUAUUAACAUGUAAAAUAUAUUCAAAGACAAUGAUCCAUGACUGAUUGCACAGGGCUGGACAAUCCUUAUGGAAAUAAGAUGUGCUAACACUUAUACAACUGCUUACCAAUGCAAAUGCCAUUAAGUUUUCAUAAGUUGUCCCCUUUAAACAAACCUUAACACAUAUCUAAUUUCUAAGACAAUCAAUGAACAAUAAUGAGAGGGUGGGGUUAUUUAAUAUCCAUGGAAAUGAAACUUUUAAAUACCAAUAUGUUUGCAUACCAAAUGGCUUUGACUUAAGAUAACUGAUAUCUUAAACUGACAUAAUUAUAAUAAUAACAAACUAAUUCAAGUAAACUAGUUAAAAGUUCAAAGUCAAUAGAUCAUGCAUAUGACUGAGGGGUAAGGACCAAAUAUCCUCUAUGUAAGAUGUACUAAUGCUUCUUCACCUGCAUGGCAAUCAUCAUUGACUUACGACGAUUGGUUUCCCUCAUUAUAAAAUUAUCAAAAGCUAAAUAAAAUUUCAAAGUAACAUAAGCUUCCAAGUAAAAAGAGAAUAAUUGAGGGGGCAGGGCCAAAUAUCCUCAAUAGAAAUUGAAAGUGACAAGUUUUAUACAACUGCACACCAAAAUAUCAUUGACCGUUCACUAGUGGUUCCCCAAUAACUGACCUAAUCAAAAACUAAUACAUGUAAACUAAGUUUCAGAGUCAAUAGACAAUGAUAAAGGGAGUGGGGCUAAAUAUUCUGGUAAUGAGAUAUACAGGUCUAUGCUAACACAACUGGUUUCCAAAUAUCAAAGACCUCCCAUAAACUAGACCUAAUCACAAAAUCACAAACUACAUUUUUGUAAUACAUUGUUGAUGCUGCCAAAACAACACAUCUUUAUAUAUAUAUGCCUGUCUUUUUGACUCUGUCAUCUUUGGCAAGACAAAAAUUCCAACAAAUUUAAUACAAAUAUUUUGUCCAUCUUUUUUUUAAUAUUUCUAUAUUCUUAAUUUCUUAAAUCAAUUAAUGCUGCAUUUACACAUAAUUUUAUAUCAAUUUGAAUAUUUAACAUGUUUAAUGUCUACUUCAAUACACGUCAAAAUCACUUCACUGUCCAAAUGAGCUAAAUUUUUAAGUCAAUUAAUAAUAUUCAUUUGUUGUAACUGCUGGCAAGUUUAUAAAUAAUUCCCGUGAGAAAGCUGAAUCAAAACUUGUUGUACUAGUCGACAUGAUUACCCUGGCAUAAACAAUCUUCAAAAUUGAUCAUAUAUGUAGAUGAACUGGUAGGUAUAUGUAAAUGUAAGUAUCAACAGGUCUUCAAUGCAGCGAGAAAUUCCCGCACCCGGAGGCGUCCUUCAGCUGGCCCCUAAACAAAUAAAUAUACUAGUUCAGUGAUAAGUAACGCCAUACUAACAAAAUUGUACACAAGAAACUAAAAUUAAAAAUAAUACAAGACUAACAAAGGCCAGAGGCUCCUGACUUGGGACAGGCGACAAAAAUGCGGCGAGAGGUAAACAUGUUUAUGAUAUCUCAACCCUCCUCCUAUACCUCUAGCCAAUGUAGAAUAGUAAACGCAUAACAAUACGCACAUUAAAAUUCAGUUCAAGAGAGGUCCGAGUCUGAUGUCAAAAGAUGUAACCAAAGAAAAUUAACAAAAUGACAAUAAUACAUAAAUAACAACAAACUACUAGCAUGCUGUUAACUGACAUGCCAGCUCCAGACUUCAUUUAAACUGAUUGAAAGAUUAUGUCUUCAUCAUAUGAAUAUCAGGCACAAUCCUACCCGUUAGGGGUUUAGUAUCAUACCAUCAUAACAUAUAUGAGAAGAUAUACCUAUAUGGUACCAAAUUGGGUUUCCCCUUGGGCACUUAUUUUUUCGUCACCUCUUUCGCCAAAACAACAUAUUUUUCGCCACUUUGUUACUUUUUUUGCCAAGUAACAUAAAUAUAUCUUUCGUUUAAAUUUUUUGUUCUAUCCUAUCCCACUCCUAAACCGUUAGUUUUUCCGUUUGAAUGGUUUUGAACUAGUUAUUUUAGGGGCCCUUCAUAGCUUGCUGUUCGGUAUGAGCCAAGGCCCCGUGUUGAAGUCCUACCUUGGCCUAUAAUGAUAUACCUUUAUUAUGUUAUUUGGAUGGAGAGUUGUCUCAUCGGCAAUUAUACCACAUCUUCCUUUAUCUAUCAUAUGGUCCGACCAUACGCUACAGUUUGACCAUAAGAAAAUACGCAUAUGGUCGUGACCAUACGCGUAUGGUCCUAUUACUCAUAUGGUCAGGAACAUAAGCAUAGGCAAUUUGAAUUAAGACGUACAUACAUAUUUUGUAUAAGAUGAGGUGUAUGUUCUUAAAAGAGUAUGCAUCUUAGAUAUUUCAUGAUCUAUUUGUCUUGUUUCUUGUAUUAUUUAUUUUAUUGUUUAAGAAAUGGAAACCGAAAAUGACUAAAUGCUACAACUGUGAGGAGGAGUCUGAUUGUACAAUAUAUAAUAAUUUGUCAUACAGCAACUAAACACCAUAACUUCCUUUCAGUAAAAGAAAAGGGUAUAAAAAGUAGAAACUAUGAAUAUUAAUCAAGACAUUACAUGUUGUUCCUGGUGUCGUUCGAAGCACUGGACAAUCUAGCUGGUGAUAGCAUAUGUUAUACACAUUUUGUAUUUGUCUAUCACUGCUAAAGGAUCAUAUUUAGGCUAAUGAACUACAUGUAUUCAUUUCAUUGUUGAUUUUAUCUGAAUUUUUUUUUAAAUUUUGUGUUUAAUGGCAAUAAAAAUGGGAUGAAUUAAGUGUGUGUGUUUUUUUUAUAUUAUUAAUAGGUUUCUGUUAUUAAUUUCCGGAGUUCACCACAAGAAAUAUUAUUAACCGAAAAAUCAAAAGUAGCAUGAAAUGAAGUUAAAAUGAAUAUGAGAUCCCUGUAUAAUGUUCUAGACACCGUUUUGUUAAGGAUCAAGUUAUAAUUUCUAAAUGAACACUGGAAAAUAUUUGUAUAACGGUCACCAAACAGAAUAUUUGCAUUAAAUUGAAAAAAAAAUAUUCAUUUUGAUAUGUUUUUGAUGACUUAUUGGGAAUAUAUAAUAUUGUCCUUCACUUAAUUACAGUUAAAAACUAGAAAAAAGUCGUUUUGUAAAGCCUAGAAUACCUUCAAUUUUCUGUAAAAAAAUUCCCAGACCAUUUGUCUAAAAACCCGGACGAAUUCACAGUUGCUCUCGAAAAAACCCGGACAAUAACAAACACUGAUUUAUUUAUUAAUACAAGGAAAUUGAGCUUCUUUGUUGAUCAAAACAUAUAUAGUAUUCAAUAUAAGAUGGGUAGUAAUGUUAAAUAAAGGCAACAGUAGUAUACCGCUGUUCAAAACUCAUAAAUCCAGGGACAAAAAACAAAAUCGGGGUAACAAACUAAAACCGAGGGAAACGCAUUAAAUAUAAGAGGAGAACAACGACAUAACACCGAAACGUAACGCACACAGAAACAGACCAAGCAUCAGACAAAACACCACGAGAAUAACAAAUAUAACAAGAAAACCAAAUACAUGAAUUUGGGAUAGACAAGUACCGUGCCACGUCUGAUCUCAAUAUCUCAAAAAUAAGAGAAAACACAAACGACUCAACGUUAAAAUGCAACACACACAGAAACGAACAAUAAUAUAACAAUGGCCAUCUUCCUGACUUGGUACAGGACACUUUUAAAGGGGAAUAAAAGUGGUGGGUUGAACCUGGUUUUGUGGCAUGCCAAACCUCGCACUUUAAUGGCAAAGUUAAAUACAACAUUGAAAUGACAACAUAAUAUUACAGGACUACAAUACAAAUAAAUAGGAGAACAUAUUAGACAAAGAAAAACAUGAUUAAUAGAUAACAAAAAGCAUCAGGUUUAAAAUUCAAUACGCCAAAAACGCGCCUUGUCCACACAGGACUUACAAGUGACGCCCAGAUAUAAAAGAUCGAAAGUGAAAAAAGUACAAAGUUGUACAGCACUGGAGAUAAAAAGUUGAAAAGGUUUCGCCAAAAUACGGCAUUUUUUAUGCCCGGGAUAAGAACAUUCUUAUUAUAUAGAACAAUUCAUGCUAUUGCAAACAGUAAAUUUUAUCAAAUGAAUAUGAAAGAGAUAUACAUAAAGAAACUGAAGUAUUAACUAAUUACAGAAAACUAAACCCGAAUACAUAACGCCCAGAUAUAAAAGAUCGAAAGUGAAAAAGGUACAAAGUUGUACAGCACUGAAGAUCAAAAGUUGAAAAGUUUGAAAACUGUUAUAAUUACGAAAUAUCCGUUAAUUGAACUUAUCGCAUGUUUUAUCACUCGACAAAGCCCGAACUACACUCGAAAAAAAUGGACCAAAUCACUCGAAAAACCACGAUCCUAGCCGGACACUUUACCUACCGUGUUUACGGUGUUAUGUGUAUUUUAAAAGUUAACAUAGGUAAAUUCCCGUUGAGUGAUACAAUUGGGUCACACUGAAGUUGACCUUCACAGAGCACGAGACUAUAAAUAGACAUCUUUUCAGUUGUUUUAUUUUUAUCACUUUUCUCUGUUCUAGGACAUUUAUCUACGAUUUGUCUUAUGAAUAAGCAUAAGUUAUUGGUUUUUCUUUUACAUUUGAAACUUGAAUUGUUUAUUUUAUAGUUUAUACAAUUUUUACUAUUGACAAUGUUAUGAUUGUCAUGAUUGUUAUCUUUGUAAAUAAUGUUUAUAAAUUUUUUACCUGUAUUUGUAUUUACAAUCCUUUUGUAAAAAUGAUGAAAUGCGUAUUUCGUUUGAAUGUUUUUGUCGAGCUUGCAACUUUUGUUGCAGAAAGCUCGACAUAGGGAUAGUGAUCCGGCGGCGGCGGCGGCGGUGUUAGCUAACUUCUUAAAAGCUUUAUAUUUUAGAAGUAAGAAGACCUGUAUAUUCUCUCUACUAUGUAUAUAGAUGACUCAUGUUACGAACUUUCCGUCAGUCACAUGUCCAAUGUCCUUGACCUCAUUUUCAUGGUUCAGUGACUACUUGAAAAAAAAGUUAAGAUUUUUUGUAAUGUUAAUUUCUCUCUUAUUAUAAGUAAUUGGAUAACUAUAUUUGGUAUAUGCGUACCUUGCAAGGUCCUCAUAUCCGUCAGACAGUUUUCACUUGACCUCGACCUCAUUUCAUGGAUCAGUGAACAAGGUUAAGUUUUGGUGGUCAAGUCCAUAUCUCAGAUACUAUAAGCAAUAGGGCUAGUAUAUUCGGUGUAUGGAAGGACUGUAAGGUGCACAUGUCCAACUGGCAGGUGGCAUCUGACCUUGACCUCAUUUUCAUGGUUCAGUGGUUAUAGUUAAAUUUUUGUGUUUUGGUCUGUUUUUCUCAUACUAUAUGCAAUAGGUCUACUAUAUUUGUUGUAUGGAAUGAUUGUAAGGUGUACAUGUCUAGCGGGCAGAUGUCAUGUGUCCUUGACCUCAUUUUCAUGGUUCAGUGGUCAAAGUUAAGUUUUUGAGUUUUGGUCUUUUUAUCUAAUACUAUAUGCCAUAGGUCAACUAUAUUUGAUGUAUGGAAAUAUUUUAUUAUCUUUAUGUCAGUCGCGCAGGUUUUAUUUGACCUUGACCUCAUUUUCACAGUUCAUUGCACAGUGUUAAGUAUUUGUGUUUUUUUCUGAAACUAUAAGUAAUAGGUCAACUAUAUAUGUUGUAUAGGAGCAUUGUUAGCUGUUCAUGUCUGCCUGGCAUGGUUCAUCUGACCUUGACCUCAUUUUCAAGGUUCGUUGGUCUUUGUUUAGUUAUCUUGGUUAAUGUUAAGUUUAUGUGACAGUUGUAAUAAAUCUUUAUACUUAGGACUAUCAACAUAAUAUCAAUGAUUAGUAUAGAAGGCGAGACAUUUCAGCGUGUGCACUCUUGUUACAUGUAUUCACAAGUAAAGUGUUAGCACAAUUUUUUUCUAUUAAAAACAUACAAUAGCAAGUAACAUAUACAUUCAUGGAUAAAUAAAAUCUAUUGUUUUCUUUUACAUAUACCCCAUGAGUCAUUAGUUGGGUCUUCCACGUGACUUCAAAAACAGACAUUGACAUGUGCCUCUUAAUUUUAGCACACUCAAUGUUUGUUAAACCAAUACAAGUACAAUUAUUUAUGUGUUUCAUAUUGAAAUACUUAUUCAAAUCAAUUUUUAAAAAAAGAACAAUAUUUAUAUACAUACAUUGUAAAAGAUAUUUAUUUUUAUUUUUAGGAUAAGAAGACCUCUCUGACUGGUUUUGAAUGAAGGAAUAUGAAUAGAUUACUAAAAAUUGGAUUUUUUUCAAUGAAGCUUUACUAGAAGCAUUUGACAGUAUGCUUAUAAUGAUUGUGAAAAAUAAGCAGUUUCAUACCAAUUAAAUGCUGUGUAUUUUACAGUUUCUUUACUUUUUAAUCCGUGAUAGGUAUCACUUGCCAAAAUCAGAAAAUUAGAAUACAACGGAUUACAUCCUUAAUAUAUACCAGCAAUGAGAAAAGAAAAAGUGAAAAGUGCUAUAUACAGUGACAUUUUUUAAUAUUUUUUUUUAUAUGAUAAAAAAUAAUAUCAACUAAAUUGAAAUAGUUUAGUGUUAAUUGCAAUGUUCAAUAUAUAUGAUAUCUACAAAACUUAAG